rnacentral:lncRNA from 1 species
UGCAAAGACCCUAUUUUCAAAUAAGGUCACAUUCCCAGGAAUUAGAGAUGAGGACUUAGAUAUAUCUUUUGGGGGGCACAUUUCUACCCAUUCAGCACCCUCACUGCCCCCCCGAUUUGCACAUGAAGUAAACUGAGCUGAGGGAAUGGGGGUGAAGGGAAAUUGGAAAAAUCGGAAGGACCAGUAGUUGGAGAGUGUCGGGAAAUUCCUGGAAUAGGUCAUGUGAUGUUUAAAAGAUUUACUGAAAGUACCUGGAGUGUUCGAGGAAUAAGGAGUAAUUGAGAAGUCUUCAUGUUUAGAGCAAAAAUAUGUGGUGGCGGGCCUGGCCCCGUGGCCGAGUGGUUAAGUUCGCGCGCUCCGCUGCAGGCGGCCCAGUGUUUCGUUAGUUCGAAUCCUGGGCGCGGACAUGGCGCUGCUCAUCAGACCACGCUGAGGCAGCGUCCCACAUGCCACAACUAGAAGAACCCACAACGAAGAAUACACAACUAUGUACCGGGGGGCUUUGGGGAGAAAAAGGAAAAAAUAAAAUCUUAAAAAAAAAAAAAAAAUGUGGUGGCAUCCAGCGUUCGAAAGCAGAAAAGUACCUGAGAUACACUAAAAUAAGAGGUGUUAAACCCUAAAAAGUUUAAAAGCUCACCUGCAGCUAAUUGAGGAGGAAAGGGACUGCAGAAUCGUGCCUGUUGAGCAUCUCUGGUGCUGUGCUGGGACCCUCAGGUGAGUUGUGUCUGAUCCAUGUGAGCCAGGCGUGUGUCACUGUAUCAUGCACAGAGAACCUUAUGCACUGCCUCCAGCACCUGGGUAACUUACACAGCAAGGGGCAGAAAUGAGACUUCCUUGCUCUUGGGACCGACCAAAGGGAGCACCCCCGGUAGGGACUCCAUGGUUGUAAGACAGACUGCACUAGAGUGGGCAGGCUGGAUGGAGGUGGAGGGGCCAGGACAGGGCUGCUCUCUGAGGGGAGUUUCAGGACACAGAUCAGGGUGUGGGACCCCGGAAGGGAUCUGUGCUCUGAGAUGGGAUCAGGACACAGAUCAGAGUGUGGGAUCCAGGACAGAGUCUGUGCUCUGAGAUGAGAUCAGGACACAGAUCCAGGUGUGGGAUCCAGACAGGAUCGGUACUCUGAGAAGAGGAUCAGGACACAGAACAGACUAGGGGAUCCAGGAAGGGAUCUGUGCUCUGAGAUGGGAUCAGGACACAGAUCAGGCUGUGGGAUCCAGCAUGCAGCGAGCCCCUCUUUCCUGCUGGACAGAUUCCAAACUCUUCAGUGGUUCUUGGGGCUCCAGCUUCUGGGGAUUCUGGUGAGAAUGAAGCAAUAAGUGCAGGUGGUAAGUCUGCACAUGCUGAACAUGUUGUGUGUGAUGUCUCCCUCCCCUGCCCUCACGCCUGCAGCACUGCGUCCUUGGCCAGCGUGCUCUCCCUGAGCCUCAGUUCCCAUCCUGAAAUUCCAGGAUCCUAGGAU